UACGGGGGGGUGCGAGCGUUGUCCGGAAUCACUGGGCGUAAAGGGCGCGUAGGUGGCGCGUAAGUCUGUGGUGAAAGCCCGGAGCUCAACUCCGGGUCUGCCGCGGAUACUGCGAGGCUUGAGUGCUGUAGAGGGGGGUAGAAUGCCGGGUGUAGCGGUGGAAUGCGUAGAGAUCCGGCAGAAGACCGGUGGCGAAGGCGGCCCCCUGGGCAGUAACUGACACUGAGGCGCGACAGCGUGGGGAGCAAACAGG
rnacentral:rRNA from 1 species